rnacentral:rRNA from 1 species
GACGAACGCUGGCGGCGUGCUUAACACAUGCAAGUCGAGCGGUAAGGCCCUUUCGGGGGUACACGAGCGGCGAACGGGUGAGUAACACGUGGGUGACCUGCCCUCAGCUCUGGGAUAAGCCCGGGAAACUGGGUCUAAUACUGGAUAUGACUCCAUGACGCAUGUUGUGGGGUGGAAAGCCUUGUGCGGCUGAGGAUGGGCCCGCGGCCUAUCAGCUUGUUGGUGGGGNGAUGGCCUACCAAGGCGACGACGGGUAGCCGGCCUGAGAGGGCGACCGGCCACACUGGGACUGAGACACGGCCCAGGCUCCUACGGGAGGCAGCAGUGGGGAAUCUUGCGCAAUGGGCGAAAGCCUGACGCAGCGACGCCGCGUGAGGGAUGACGGCCU